UACGUAGGAGGCGAGCGUUAUCCGGAUUUAUUGGGCGUAAAGAGGGCGUAGGUUGCUUUUUAAGUCGGAUAUGAAAUCUCCCGGCUCAACUGGGAGGGGUUAUCCGAUACUAUUGGGCUAGAGGGCAGUCGAGGGAGGCGGAAUUCCCGGUGUAGUGGUGAAAUGCGUAGAUAUCGGGAGGAACACCAGUGGCGAAGGCGGCCUCCUAGGCUGUUGCUGACGCUGAGGCCCGAAAGCGUGGGGAGCGAACAGGAUUAGAUACCCCCGUA
rnacentral:rRNA from 1 species